rnacentral:rRNA from 1 species
ACGCUGGCGGCACGCCUAACACAUGCAAGUCGAACGAAGUAGCAAUACUUAGUGGCAGACGGGUGAGUAACAUGUAGGUAUCUGCCCUUUGGCCUGGAAUAACACGAGGAAACUUGUGCUAAUACCGGAUAAGUCUUUACGGAGAAAGCUUUAUGCACCAUUGGAUGAGCCUGCACUUGAUUAGUUUGUUGGUGGGGUAAUGGCCUACCAAGACUGUGAUCAAUAGCUGAUUUGAGAGGAUGAUCAGCCACAUUGGGACUGAGACACGGCCCAAACUCCUACGGGAGGCAGCAGUGGGGAAUCUUGCACAAUGGAGGAAACUCUGAUGCAGCGAUGCCGCGUGAGUGAAGAAGGCCCUUGGGUUGUAAAGCUCUUUCGUCGGGGAAGAAAAUGACUGUACCCGAAUAAGAAGGUCCG